rnacentral:rRNA from 1 species
UACGGGGGGAGCAAGCGUUGUUCGGAUUUACUGGGCGUAAAGGGCGCGUAGGCGGCUACCGCAAGUCGACUGUGAAAUCUCCGGGCUUAACCCGGAAAGGUCAGCCGAUACUGCGGGGCUAGAGUGCAGAAGGGGCAACUGGAAUUCUCGGUGUAGCGGUGAAAUGCGCAGAUAUCAGGAGGAACACCGGUGGCGAAGGCGGGUCUCUGGGCCGAUACUGACGCUGAGGAGCGAAAGCGUGGGUAGCAAACAGG